GUCCUUCAUUGUGACAUAAGGGACAGUGACCUCUUCACUAGACACACUGGUCCUUCAUUGUGACAUAAGGGACAGUGACCUCUUCACUAGACACAAGAGACAGUGACCUCUUCACUAGACACACUGGUCCUUCAUUGUGACAUAAGAGACAGUGACCUCUUCACUAGACACACUGGUCCUUCAUUGUGACAUAAGAGACCGUGACCUCUUCACUAGACACACUGGUCCUUCAUUGUGACAUAAGGGACAGUGACCUCUUCACUAGACACACUGGUCCUUCAUUGUGACAUAAGGGACAGUGACCUCUUCACUAGACACAAGAGACAGUGACCUCUUCACUAGACACACUGGUCCUUCAUUGUGACAUAAGAGACAGUGACCUCUUCACUAGACACACUGGUCCUUCAUUGUGACAUAAGAGACCGUGACCUCUUCACUAGACACACUGGUCCUUCAUUGUGACAUAAGAGACGGUGACCUCUUCACUAGACACACUGGUCCUUCAUUGUGACACAAGAGACGGUAACCUCUUCAUGAGACACACUGGUCCUUCAUUGUGACAUAAGAGACAGUGACCUCUUCACUAGACACACUGGUCCUUCAUUGUGACAUAAGAGACAGUGACCUCUUCACUAGACACAAGAGACAGUGACCUCUUCACUAGACACAAGAGACAGUGACCUCUUCACUAGACACAAGAGACAGUGACCUCUUCACUAGACACACUGGUCCUUCGUUGUGACAUAAGGGACAGUGACCUCUUCACUAGACACAAGAGACAGUGACCUCUUCAUGAGACACACUGGUCCUUCAUUGUGACAUAAGGGACAGUGACCUCUUCACUAGACACAAGAGACAGUGACCUCUUCAUGAGACACACUGGUCCUUCAUUGUGACAUAAGAGACAGUGACCUCUUCACUAGACACAAGAGACAGUGACCUCUUCAUGAGACACACUGGUCCUUCAUUGUGACAUAAGAGACGGUGACCUCUUCACUAGACACACUGGUCCAUUGUGACAUAAGAGACGGUGACCUCUUCACUAGACACACUGGUCCUUCAUUGUGACACAAGAGACGGUAACCUCUUCACUAGACACACUGGUCCUUCAUUGUGACAUAAGGGACGGUGACCUCUUCACUAGACACACUGGUCCUUCGUUGUGACAUAAGGGACGGUAACCUCUUCACUAGACACAUUGGUCCUUCAUUGUGACAUAAGGGACGGUGACCUCUUCACUAGACACACUGGUCCUUCGUUGUGACAUAAGGGACGGUAACCUCUUCACUAGACACACUGGUCCUUCAUUGUGACAUAAGGGACGGUGACCUCUUCACUAGACACACUGGUCCUUCAUUGUGACAUAAGGGACGGUGACCUCUUCACUAGACACACUGGUCCUUCGUUGUGACAUAAGAGACGGUAACCUCUUCACUAGACAGGGUAACAGUCUGUUCCAGAUUUGACCAACUUAUCCCACUAAUUAACAUUACCACUAGCUUGGCAACUUGUUGUUGGAUGCAGAAACAGUCUUGUACGAAUACAGUGGCUGAGAUUCAAUCUGAGGUGUGUUGUAGCACCCUGAACAUUUAAAGGUAAUAUCUGACUGAGCUGACAUAUGCAACAUUUACCGUGAACACGCUGAGGAACACUGCCUUUAAAUGGGGCACUGUCAACAGAGGUCUACAACGUACCUCUGACUGAAUCCCUUCCUAUAUGUCCCUGUCAACAGAGGUCUACAACGUACCUCUGACUGAAUCCAGACCAAUAUGUCCCUGUCAGAGGUCUACAACGUACCUCUGACUGAAUCCAGACCUAUAUGUCCCUGUCAACAGAGGUCUACAACGUACCUCUGACUGAAU